CCUACGGGUGGCAGCAGUGAGGAAUAUUGGUCAAUGGCCGGAAGGCUGAACCAGCCAUGCCGCGUGAAGGGCAGGGACCUAUGGGCGUUAAACUUCUUUUGUGCGGGAGCAAGAAUGGUCACGUGUGGCCAGACGAGAGUACCGUACGAAUAAGCAUCGGCUAACUCCGUGCCAGCAGCUGCGGUAAGACGGGGGUUGCAAGCGUUAUCCGGAUUUAUUGGGUUUCAAGGGUGCGUAGGCUGUGAGGUAAGGCAGCGGUGCAAUGCCCCCGCUCAACGGGGGGAAGUGCCAUUGAUACUGCCUUGCUGGAUUGCGGCUGCCGUGGGCGGAAUGUGUGGUGUAGCGGU
rnacentral:rRNA from 1 species